rnacentral:rRNA from 1 species
UACAGAGGGUGCGAGCGUUGUUCGGAAUUAUUGGGCGUAAAGAGCUCGUAGGCGGUUUGUUGCGUCGGCUGUGAAAUCCCGAGGCUCAACCUCGGGUCUGCAGUCGAUACGAGCAAACUAGAGUGUUGCAGGGGAGACUGGAAUUCCUGGUGUAGCGGUGAAAUGCGCAGAUAUCAGGAGGAACACCGGUGGCGAAGGCGGGUCUCUGGGCAACAACUGACGCUGAGGAGCGAAAGCGUGGGGAGCGAACAGG